UUACCAUGAUAACCAGAAAGCGAUGUUACCCAUUAAUGUUACCAAUCGAUAUUCCAGUUACUCAAGAAUGCGCAGUUCAACCCAUUUCGUAUUGGAAUCCUUUUUAGAUGUAACUUACCAUUUGCAAAAUAUGAUAAUAAUAACAAUUUAAUCGUUGUGUAAAUCACAUUUGUUAACAGCCGAAUUAAUAGAUCGACAGUUUGCCAUGAAAUUCAAAUUUACUGGUUCUUACAGUUUACUCGACUUGUGAUGGUGACUCCUAAGAUAUAGAGUCAUUCGUAAUAGAGCUUCAAUGGAUUUACAAGUGUUUUUGUUUUUUUAAUUUAACAGAAUCAGCAAUUUUUGUAUAUUUUUUGUUCGUCUAAAGUUAUAAUUAAUUCACCUAAUUUUUAUCUAUGCUGGAUAACAGACGGCAAUAAAUUAAUCAUCAGCAGUGUUAAACUCAAUGAAUUUAAUGAAAAUAAACCGCGUUCAACCGAGUCAGCAAAAUAGUCCAAGAUACAAAUAUUGUACAAAUUAGAUGUUAUAGCUUUUAAUUUGCCAGCCAGUUCAAUGGGUCUUCCAAAAUCUACUACAUUUAGUGCUGUUCACAGGCAUUUUUGGUUCAAUUUUCACUUUAUAAUUCUGCUUAUUGGUUUCAUAAUGCUAAUACAUCUAAAAUCUGCCUACGGAAUAAGCUGUUUUAGCUGCUCAAGUCGCAAUUUAACUCAUUCACCUUGCCAUGAUCCAUUUCAUCCUGCAAAUGUUACUUAUAUCCAGCAUUGUAAAGUAGGAAAAGAAAGACAUAUUGGACAGUUUCCAGCCAAUUUUUGUAUUAAAGUUAAAGGUCGAAGCGAUAAAACAAACGAAGAAUUAGUUAUUCGCACUUGUUCAAUUGAAAACAUGGAUAACCAAUGUGGUACUUUUAAAUUUGAUGGUGAAACGUUGGCCGGUUGUAUAUUAACAUGCUCAGCUGAUGGAUGUAAC